AUUGAACGCUGGCGGCAUGCCUUACACAUGCAAGUCGAACGGUAACAGGUCUUCGGAUGCUGACGAGUGGCGAACGGGUGAGUAAUACAUCGGAACGUGCCCGAUCGUGGGGGAUAACUACUCGAAAGAGUAGCUAAUACCGCAUACGAUCUACGGAUGAAAGCGGGGGAUCUUCGGACCUCGUGCGGACGGAGCGGCCGAUGGCAGAUUAGGUAGUUGGUGGGAUAAAAGCUUACCAAGCCGACGAUCUGUAGCUGGUCUGAGAGGACGACCAGCCACAAUGGGACUGAGACACGGCCCAGACUCCUACGGGAGGCAGCAGUGGGGAAUUUUGGACAAUGGGCGAAAGCCUGAUCCAGCAAUGCCGCGUGCAGGAUGAAGGCCUUCGGGUUGUAAACUGCUUUUGUACGGAACGAAAAGACUCCUUCUAAUACAGGGGGUCCAUGACGGUACCGUAAGAAUAAGCACCGGCUAACUACGUGCCAGCAGCCGCCGUAA
rnacentral:rRNA from 1 species